UGAUGUGCUCACAUAUCCUGGAUUAGAUGAUACUUAUGAACCUGUUACUUCAAGAAUAAAUGCAAGCCAAGAUUCUAUUGUUACCUGGGUCGGCUUUCUGUUUAGAUUGUGGCAAGCAAAUAGCAGAGUUAGGCAUACCUAUUGAUCUCCGAGGAUUCUUAAUGUGUGCAGGAUGCAAUGUUAAUUCUUACACUCAAGAAGACCGGGUCAAGAAGACUAAACUGCUUGAUUUUAUUGCAACUAAAAUCACCAUUUUAUCUAAAUCAAUUCCUGAAGUUACAGGAACAGAUAGAAUACUGCGUUCACGUGCAAUGCAAAAUGUAUCUAAUUUUGAGUUCGAUGAUCAAGACAAUACUUAAUGUAACAAGAACACCACAGGCCUUGUUACAAUGAAUACAUAUUCCAGAGGACAUUUAUUUUUUGUGACCUCUGGUGGAUUUAUUCGCUAUUGGUAACCAUUAUACCGUUCUGAAUCAACCUCUCAAGUUGCGAUACCUACUAUCAAAUAUCUAGAACUGUAUUUGCGUGAAUAUGAGAACAUUGAUAAUACAUACUUGUUUUAUGAGAACAUGGUGAAAUAUCAUUUAAAAAUAGAAAAAAAUGAGUUUUUGCCACAAACUCAAAUUGUCUAAUCCCUAUAGGGUUGCAACCCUGAUGUAAAAUGUGCAAGCCUUAGAUACUUCAAACUUUAAUAUUGAUAUUUUUUACAAAAAUUUGCAAAAAAAAUUGAAUACCAGAGUUUGUGGCGAAGAUGCAAUGCCCUGAAAAUGUAUAUUUCUUUGGCCAUAAUAAUUGAUAUUUCAUCAUUUAAAGUGUAACUUGGAAAGAUUGAAACUAUGGAAUUGUGAUAUGGACCAACUAACUCCUGAUGCCAAACUAGGGCUGGCAGUGUUUAAUUCUAUAUCCAGGGGAGUUGAUGCCCUUCACAUAAAGAACCAUGUCAGAGACAAAUGCAGAAAAGAUUAUCCUGUUAUAAUUGAUAAUUUGAGGAAGACUUUUCCUCACCCCAAUACUGAGUCUGCAGAGCAGACAUUUGUCUGGCUUGGAAAAUAAGAAAAAAUUUUUGAAUUCAAUGAGCAACAGAAAACACCAUUUUUUCCUCCAUUGUCUUAUAAAGGAACGAAAUAGAUAUACUGAGUGGUGUUAUGCCAAUAACAUAAAGCCUAACCUCCCCCAAGUCAAUAGAGACAAACUAAUGAUCUCACCCUUGGAUUAAUCUAAUAUUAUUU